rnacentral:piRNA from 1 species
UGUGUGAAUGAAAUGUAUUCCAGAGGGUA